rnacentral:rRNA from 1 species
CCUACGGGGGGCAGCAGUGAGGAAUAUUGGUCAAUGGACGCAAGUCUGAACCAGCCAUGCCGCGUGCAGGAAGACGGCUCUAUGAGUUGUAAACUGCUUUUGUACGAGGGUAAACGCAGAUACGCGUAUCUGUCUGAAAGUAUCGUACGAAUAAGGAUCGGCUAACUCCGUGCCAGCAGCCGCGGUAAUACGGAGGAUUCAAGCGUUAUCCGGAUUUAAUGGGUUUAAAGGGUGCGUAGGCGGUCGGAUAAGUUAGAGGUGAAAUCCCGAGGCUCAACUUCGGAAUUGCCUCUGAUACUGUUCGGCUAGAGAGUAGUUGCGGUAGGCGGAAUGUAUGGUGUAGCGGUGAAAUGCUUAGAGAUCAUACAGAACACCGAUUGCGAAGGCAGCUUACCAAGCUACUUCUGACGUUGAGGCACGAAAGCGUGGGGAGCAAACAGGAUUAGAUACCCGGGUAGUC